rnacentral:lncRNA from 1 species
CCUCUUGAAUGUAGUUUGUCCUACAGCUCGCUAAAGUGAAGGUUAUUCAGUAUUCUAAGCAAGUCAUAUGCUAUGCUAGGAGCUAAUAAAAGUCAUGUAGAUCCUCUAUCUAAGGCUAAGGUAAGCAGAGAUCUUCUGAUACCCCUCGUUCAACCAAUGGAGAUAGAAAGGAGAUAGAAUAAGUCAUCUUCUACGAUUGGUAAAGGGAUCAAACGACUUUGAGCUUUGGCAUGUUGUACGCGUGGGAAGGAAUUCCAUUCAACUAGUUUAAUGACCCUAGAGAGAAUGAACGCAUUAAGCUUGAAAGCAUGAAAUUCAAUUGCUAGCUGCAAUGACUGUCUUCUCUCUCUUUCAUUUUCUAGU